rnacentral:rRNA from 1 species
UAGGGAAUCUUCCACAAUGGACGAAAGUCUGAUGGAGCAACGCCGCCUGAGUGAAGAAGGUUUUCGGAUCGUAAAGCUCUGUUGUUGGUGAAGAAGGAUAGAGGCAGUAACUGGUCUUUAUUUGACGGUAAUCAACCAGAAAGUCACGGCUAACUACGUGCCAG